rnacentral:rRNA from 1 species
UACGUAGGUGGCAAGCGUUGUCCGGAUUUACUGGGCGUAAAGAGCGCGCAGGCGGUCGUUCAAGUCGCGUGUGAAAGCCCCCGGCUCAACUGGGGAGGGUCACGCGAUACUGAUCGACUCGAAGGCAGGAGAGGGUAGUGGAAUUCCCGGUGUAGUGGUGAAAUGCGUAGAUAUCGGGAGGAACACCAGUGGCGAAGGCGACUACCUGGCCAAAUACUGACACUGAGGCACGAAAGCAUGGGGAGCAAACAGG